GAGGGAUCAAGAGGGUGCUAGACUCGGCCUGAAGUAUUUAUUGAAUGUUGUCACACUGCCCAUAGAGGGUGUAAGGCCCGUAAGGCCGGCGUCUAGAUUACCUCGCUGGUUCCUCUCGAGAGUCGGGUUGCUUGAAAGUGCAGCCCUAAGUAGGUGGUAAACUCCAUCUAAGGCUAAAUAUUCCCACGAGACCGAUAGCGAACAAGUACCGCGAGGGAAAGUUGAAAAGAACUUUGAAAAGAGAGUUCAAUAGAGCGUGAAACUACCACGAGGCUAAAGCGAGUGAGCGUACGUAUCCGAACGGUUUGAUUCAGUCCGCCCGAGCACGAUGAGCAGUGGGGGGUCGUAAUACGUCAUUAACGGAUCUCCCGAAAGGAUCCGAGCUUUACGCUCGGCCUCUAGGGUGACCGGCGUAUCCUCCGCUUUGCUCUGUAGGGGGACGCAUUUCCGGCCGAAGUAGGGCGUCGCGGCCGUUUCGGGGGUGUCUAAGACACGGGGGUCUUGGAAUCCGCAUCUUCUCGUCCCGGCGCGCUCUACCGCCUCGCCUUCGCGGAGGGGCGGCAUCACGCCGGGGUCGCGAGUCGAGCGGGGCCGCCUCGUUGAUCUGACGG
rnacentral:rRNA from 1 species